GCAUUCCUCUGUCUACCAGCAUCAUCUUACAUUACUGGACAGACUAUUUGUGUCGAUGGUGGCGUGACUGUUAAUGGUUUUGAGCCAAACCUGUUAUAGGAACAUCAUUAAGACUCAAAAAUCUUAGCUUCCUCUACCGCUUUCCUGUUUGGAUCCUGUCUUUUUCCUGAAUAAUCUGUUUGUGAUGGUAAGUACUCUUCUGUUUUUUCGGUGUGGGGUUCAUCUGAAAACAUUGUUGCAUGAUGCUUAUAAUAAUCGUUGGAAAGUUUGUAAGAAGUUACUUAUCAUUGGAUGAGAUUCUUGUGAUGAGUGUUUCCUAUAAUCAGAUUUAUCUUGUUAUAAGGUUGUUGUUGUAGUAGUAACUGCAAUUCAAAGGAAAUUAAUUUAGUAUAAUACUGUAGGUUGUUGUCUAGUGUCUACUACCUCAGCUUCUCAUCCCACCCAACUCUCCCUCUUUAACUACCUAAUAUGAAAUUAAAAUAUGAAUUUAACAACCUGUCCGUCUUGUCCACCGUUUCUUUGGCUCUUCAGUCUUCAGACUUCGGCCUUUUAAAGCAGGACCUAAAAGGUUUGGGCCCAAAUGUUGGAAAAACUUAACACAGGCUGCAAUUUUGGGCCCCAAAACUCUUUCCAACUGGGCCUGAACACUUUUAGGCCCAAGAUGCUUUAGAUUUUGGACUCGCAGACCAUGUAUAUGCCCUCAACACCACCAUGCUUUACUUCAUCCCUUCCUUUCAAAUUAAAAGGAAAUUCAAAUUUCAUGAUGUUACAACUUGCUCAUUGAUGUACAUUCCCAUUCACAAAAAAUAAAAUAUUAAAUGCACUUAUCCAAAAUAUCUUCAUACCUACCUAUUUUUAUUUUUAAAAUAAAAUUUAAACGUUGAAUAACAAAAAUACCAUUUUUGUCAUCCUUACCCUUCACCCUUCCGAAACCCUAAUCUAAUCUUCCCUUUCUCUCUUCUUUCAUUUUCCAUCUUCUUAAAUGGGAAAAUAACGAUCAUCAGAGCCCACCGUGACUUGUGACAGGUUCGAUCCCUUAACAAUGACGAGGCCAUUAUGGAUAAUAUAAGGAUAAGCAUUACAAUAUUUCACUCCUUCACGUGCAUCUCCCUUCACACAAAGAUGCUUCCUUCACUCAUUUUAUAUUAAUAAUAUGAUAAAUUAUACAAAAAAAAAACAAUUUUUUUUUUAUCAAAAUUGUUUUCAACAAUAUUUCAAAUAUAUAUAUAUAUAUAUAUAUAUAUAUAAAUUUGGAAAACUUGUAUUUUGGAGCUGCUAUUUAGAAAUUAUAUAGUUUUCGGAACCCAAAAAUGAGAAAUAUGAUAAUCAAAUUUUAAUAUGAAAAGUAUUAUCGUUUUUGUGCACUUUGAGUAGACUUCAUCUUUUGUGCCCAAAUGGCCCCUCCAUGUCUCCAGCUCAGCAUUCUUAGCAUCAUCCCAACCUUUGUGUCAGUAGAACCAUUGAAAUUAAGAAAAAAAAAAACACAAAAAUCUAAAUUUGUAACUUCUCAAAAAAAAAAAAAAAAAAACCCAAUCUGCAAGUUUUCAAUUUGCUCAUUUGGAAAACAUUUUUUUUUAUAAAUAUCAAUAUUAUUUUUAAAAAAUGGUGACUUUUAGCUUUUAAUUAAAACUAAGAACAAGAAGUUAUUCCAAAUAUGACUUAUGUAUUUAUUCAGUGAAAGUAAUUUUUUCAUUUAAAAAAAGUAAUUUCUUGGUGAUAAAAAGAAAUAUUUUUUUAGUAGCUUUUCGAUGCUAUAAAAAAAGUGUUGGCUAAGUUUGUAUGAUAAAAUUGGUGUUAUUUAUAUACCAGCACUUUCGCUAGGGUCUUAUUUAUUGGGAAAACUGAUUAAUAAACUAAUCUUCUGUUUUGUUUUCAGUUCAAAGAGUGGUAGAGUAGAGGAGGAGGCAUGGCUCAGACAUUUGGGUGCAGCUCUGGAGAUAGUAGAUGGUCUCUCAAGGGAAUGACUGCUCUUGUAACUGGUGGAACUAAAGGAAUUGGGUUGGUGUUACCUGUUUUUAUGUCUUUGGGUUUGGACUAUACCUUCCUAUAUAUAAACGUAUGUAUCAAUUCUGCAGGCAUGCAAUUGUGGAGGAACUGGCUGGAUUAGGAGCAACCAUACACACGUGUUCUCGAAAAGAAACCGAGCUCAAUGAAUGCUUGAAGGAUUGGAAAGCUAAAGGUUUUGGAGUGAGUGGUUCAGUGUGUGAUGUAUCCUCUCGGGCCCAAAGGGAGAAGCUAAUGGAGACUGUCUCUUCUGUGUUCAAAGGGAAGCUGAAUAUCCUUGUAAGUUCCUCUAGUCUCUAAGGUUCCGAUCCAUGAUAUUCCACAUACUUUGUCGAACUUCCAACAAUUUGAGUUCCCCUACUUGAUAUAUAUAUUUUGGUUCCGGAUUCAGGUCAACAACGCUGCUAUUGUUAUUCAGAAACCAACAGUAGAGGUCACGGCAGAAGAGUUCUCAACAAUCAUGGCCAUAAAUUUUGAAUCUGUGUAUCAUCUGUCCCAACUCGCACACCCCCUUUUAAAGGCAUCAGGAGCGGGAAGCAUUGUAUUCAUCUCCUCUGUUGCCGGCGUAGUGUCAAUCAAGUAUCUGUCUGCUUAUUCAGUAACCAAAGGUAUUUCAUUACAUGAUCCACAUUAUAUAUAUAUAUAUAUAUUGCAAGUUCUUGGGUUGUGGCCCUUGUGGCCUUCUCGGCGUGUCAUUAUCAUUAUCAUAUUGUGAUUUUUCAGGAGCAAUGAAUCAGCUUACAAAGAAUUUGGCAUGCGAGUGGGCGGAAGACAAUAUUAGAAGUAAUGCAGUUGCUCCUUGGUACAUCAAAACUCCGAUGGUGGAUCAGGUAAUUCAGUUGCUCUUCUGUUUUGUCUGGGAAAAUUCAAUAAUCAAUUCCUCUCUCUUUUCUGUCUUUUGCAUAAUCUGGGUUGCAGAUGUUCAGUAACAAAACCUUUCUGGAAGAGGUGAUAAAUCGAGCUCCACUUCGCCGUGUGGGAGAUCCGAAGGAGGUGUCAUCUUUGGUGGCAUUCCUCUGUCUACCAGCAUCGUCUUACAUUACUGGACAGACUAUUUGUGUCGAUGGUGGCGUGACUGUUAAUGGUUUUGAGCCAAACCUGUUCUAGGAACAUCAUUAAGACUCUCAAAAAUCUUAGCUUCCUCUACCGCUUUCCUGUUUGGAUCCUGUCUUUUUCCUGAAUAAUCUGUUUGUGGUGGUAAGUACUCUUCUGUUUUUUCGGUGUGGGGUUCAUUUGAAAACAUUGUUGCAUGAUGCUUAUAAUAAUCGUUGGAAAGUUUGUAAGAAGUUACUUAUCAUUGGAUGAGAUUCUUGUGAUGGGUGUUUCCUAUAAUCAGAUUUAUCUUGUUAUUGUAGUAAUAGGAUUGAAAGAAAAAUGCAAAUAAUCAUAAAAGGAUGAUGAAAAUCGGGAAGAGUUCAUCAUUUUUACUUAUUCAAAUAUUACACCAUCUCUUAUUUACAAUAAAUUUCAAAGAGUGUAAGUGAAACCAACCUUAAAUUAAUUUUGUUUGAUAAAUUUAGAUGAAAUUCAACAAGUGUGAAUCUUUAAUUUUUUUUCAUUUCAAUUAAUUUGGUAUCUAUUAUGAGGUUGCCCAUCAAGCUAAAAAUGACCAAAUAUGAUAUAAGCAUGAAGUCUUUGUUAUAUCUCGGAGAUUAAGAAUUGAUUCCAAUACUUUAUAACUUCCUCUUUUUACUUUAUAUAUCCAUGAAUUUAAGAUAGGUCCCUCACAUGUUUAGCUUCUCCCCUUGACGUACGUAGUGUCAUAUGGACAAUAAUUAAUGCUUGUUCAGCUAAGGUCAAAUAUAUGAAAACAAAUAAGAUUCAUUCACGUAAAACAUACAUGUAGCAAAGAGACGAAGGAAAGUGGGUUCUGUGAUCUAUCACACAUCAUGGAAAAAGCUGUGGUACCAUGGCUUUUCCAGGACUUUUCCUUGCAUAAUGGUACUGACAACAGUAUGCUAUUCUGUUGUUACUCUUAAGAUAUUUUAAUAUAAAGUAGCGCGUAUGUACUAUAUACAAUUCAGUGACGCCAUCUAACACGUUAGCCAAUAAGGUUACAAAUUUUAAUUUUAUAUUAAUAAUAUGAUUUGGGUAUGCUCCAUAUUUUAAAAUAUAAUUGAAUCAUAAAUAUCUAGAACUAGAAAUCCUUUUGAGGGACCAAUAACAUAAAUCAUUAAAAUUUUAUAAUUUGAUAUUAUAAAUUCCUAAUUAAAUUUUAAAAUAUAUUAAAUUUAUUUGAUAUAAAUAUAUAUAAAAAUAAAGAAAAAAAUUAAUAUUUUCAUAUGAUAAAUUAUACAAAAAAAAACAAAUAUAUUUUUUUUUAUCAAAGUUGUUUUCAACAAUAUUUCAAAAAUAUAUAUAUAAAUUUGGGAAACUUGUAUUUUGGAGCUGCUAUUUAGAAAUGAUAUGGUUUUCAGAACCCAAAAAUGGGAAAUAUGAUAAUCAAUUUUUAAUAUGAAAAGUAUUAUCGUUUUUGUGCAUUCUGAGUCGGCUUCAUCUUUUGUGCCCAAAUUGCCCCUCCAUGUCUCCAGCUCAGCAUUCUCAACAUCAUCCCAACCUCCAUGUCAGUAGGACCAUUGAAAUUAAGAAAAAAAAAAACACUAAAAUCUAAAUUUGUAACUUCUCAAAAAAAAAAAAACCCAAUAUGCAAGUUUUCAAUUUGCUCAUUUGGAAGCUUUUUCUCAUCUUUUUCUCUCAUUUUAGUUUAGAAACUCAAAUCCAAAACUCUAAAUGUGAUAUGUUGUGGAAUUGUUUUCAUAGUCCUUAACAAGAUGCAUGCGGCAUGUACUGAACUUUAACCUAAUUCCUUCUACCAAUUUUUCUGGCCCCAAGUUACUAGGGACUAUGGCUCCGAUUGGGUGGUUUUUGAGUAGUCAAAAACCAUUUUUAAAGCUUAGUAAAAAAUUUUAUGCCCCUCAUUUUAUUUAAACAAUUUAUAACUUAAAAAAAUAAGAAAAUAAAAAAAAAUGUUUUUUUAAGCUUUAUUUUGACUUAUUCAAAAAGUUUUUUUAUUUUUUUUAUUUUUAUGUUUAAUACAUUUUUUAUAAUUUCAAUAUUAUUUUUAAAAAAUAGUGACUUUUAGCUUUUAAUUAAAACUAAGAACAAGAAGUUAUUCCAAAUAUGACUUAUGUAUUCAUUCAAUGAAAGUAACUUUUUCAUUUAAAAAAAGUAAUUUCUUGGUGAUAAAAAGAAAUAUUUUUUUAGUAGCUUUUUGAUGCUAUAAAAAAAGUGUUGGCUAAGUUUGUAUGAUAAAAUUGGUGUUAUUUAUAUACCUGCACUUUUGCUAGGGUCUUAUUUAUAGGGAAACUUGUGUUUAAUAUGCUCAAUUCUAUUUCUUUGUAUGGCUAUGCAAUUGUUCAGAUUUGGCAACACUAAUCAAUAAAUGUACGUUAUAUUUGAAACAUUGGAAUAAAAAAAAGAAUAAGAGUUAAUUUUAUUUUCAAUUUAUUACUAUAUUUGAAUUAUUUUUUACAAUGAUAAUAGAAUUAAAAAGAAAAUCACUUAGUAACCCUUAGGUACUACCUUAAUAUACCUUAAAUAACCUUAAUCGAUCUUAGAUAUUAUCUUAGUUACACUUGGGUACUACCUAUGUGAAGCCUCAAAACUUCAUUUGUAGACAUUACUUCAUGUGUGAACAUUAGAGAUGACAUUAUGUGCACCUUUAAUAAGUGUUACUAAGGUAGUACCUAAGGUACAAUCAACACUAUAUCAAAGGUGCACAUAAUGUCAUGCUCUAAUGUUCACAAAUAAAGUAAGUAAUGUUUACAAAUGAAGUUUCCAGGCUUCACACAGGUAGUAUCCAAGUCUAAUUAAGUAGUACCUAAGGUCGGUAAGGUAGAUUAAGGUAAUACCUAAGGGUUACUAAGGUAGUACCUAAGGUACAAUCACCACUAUAUCAAAGGGGCACAUAAUGUCAUGCUCUAAUGUUCACAAAUAAAGUAAGUAAUGUCCAUAAAUAAAGUUUCGAGGCUUCACACAGGUGGUACCCAAGUUUAACUGAGAUAAUACCUACAAUUAGUUAAAAUUAGUACCUACAAUCAGUUAAGAUAGUACUUAAGAUAAAUUAAUGUAGUACCUAAAGGUUACUAAGGUAGUACCUAAAGGUUACUAAGGUAGUACCUAAGGUACAGUAAAUACUAAAGAACAAUAAAUAAAAAUUAAUUACCUUCGUAUUUCGAGUAGGGGUUAGGGAAAAAUGUGACAGAAUGACAGGAAGACGAGACAUUUUUUUUUAGGAAACCAAUAUUUUGGAUUUCACCUUUUCGUCCAAGUACGCUUUGCUAUAGAAAAAUCAAUAUCAUAGUUGCGCCUAUUGAAACCAUCUUUUAACUGGACGUUCUUAGGAUGGAGUGCUCCAUUUGGUUGUUGAGAAUUUAGACAAGAAAGAAAAAUGCAGGUUGGAGUUUUGGAUUAAGGGUUUCUUUUCUCAAAUUGAAGAAAUUUUAGGAAAUUUUAAAUGGGUUUUAGGAUCGUCUGGGUGAUAAAGCCAAGAGAAAUAGAGAAAGAAAUGUUUCCAACCUUUAAGAGGAAAAAGUUUCAGAUUUGGGAAAUUUGAGAUGGUUCCCGGGUCAAGUGUUUUUUUGUGUUUUAGAUUUGAGAAGUUUCAAAUUCUUGGAGAAGAUAUAAAUAUGUAGAUUUGAAUUUUAAGGGUUUCUUUUUUGAAAUGAGAGAAAUUUUGGAAAAUUUUAUAGGUGUCUUUCUAAUUCGGCUAGGUAAGGAAGUGAAGAGAGUUGAGAGAAAAUGUUCCCAAAUGAGAGAGAUGGAAAGUUUUUGAUUUGGGAAAUUAGAGGUGUUGUCAGGAUGGGUGUUUAUGAGAACUUUCAAAUUCUAAUUUUUGUGUUUUGUUUAAUUUCAGAAGGUCUUGUUGACAUGAAAAGCUGACUUACUGCUGACAUGGAGACAUUGAGGGACAAUCUGGGAAUAGAAAAUGUAAACAUGACAUAGUGCAUGAGAACGAUAAUAUUUUCUCCAAUAACAGGGAAAUAUCAUAUUUCAUAUACUUGGGGUUCGAAAAGCAUAUAAUUUUCAAAUCACAGACUGAAAACACAAGUUUCCCAUAAAUAUACUUAAAGCAUGUUUGAUAACAAUUUUGAAAAAUAAUUUUCGAAAAUAGUUAUUUAAAAUUGUUUUUUGAUGUUUACAACAUAAAAAAAAAAAAAAAACAUGUUUGACAACCUAAAAUAAUUUUUAUAUCUAAUAUUUUAUUUUUAAUAAUUCGAUAUAUUUGUAUAAUUAUUUUUAAAAAUAGCUGUAAAAAAUAAGUGAAAACAAGUAAAGAUGUUAUCCGAAAACAUUAUAUUUUUUAUUUUUAAAAACAAAAAAUAGUUUUUCUUAUUCUCAAACAAGUUUUCCUGUUUUUUACGAAGAAAAAAUUAUUGUCAAACAAUCCCUUAUAUACUUGUGUUUUAUCAAGUGGUGAAAUAUCUUUGUAUGAAUUAUAUAGCAACUCAUAAGAGUAAGAGAAAAAGAGACAAUUUUAAAAGUGCAUAUGACAAGUGGAAAUUAUUAGAAAAGAGGCAAUUUUAAGAAUGGAUUUGAUAUGUGUCACAAAGACCACUAAAAUUUGGUGUGAAUAUAUAAAUAAGUUUUAAAUUUUGUUGAUUAACAUAUCUAUAAAUUUUUUUAUUUAUAAAAUUUAAUUUUUAGAGAAAUUUUAGAUAAAAAGAUUUUAGAUCUAUUCAAUCAAAAAUUGAAAGAGUAACUUAAUGUAUUUACUCUAAGCCUCAUGGUGUGUGAAUUAAACCAACCUUCAAAGAAAAAUAGAAAAAAAAAAAAGUGAAUCAUAAUAAAAAGGAAAGUAGUCAAAAUCAAAAGGAGAAUCAAAUUUGAUUUCCAUAUUAGUGAUUUUUUAAAAAAAAUUCUAUUAUCAUUGUAAAAAAUAAUUCAAAUACAUUAAUAAAUUGAAAAUAAACUUAACUCUUAUUCUCAUUUCUUAUUCCAAUGUUUCAAAUAUAACGUCCAUUUAUUGAUUAGUGUUGCCAAAUCCGAACAAUUGCAUAGCAAUACAAAGAAAUGGAAUUGAGCAUAUAAAACACUUUUUUUUUAUAGUAUCAAAAAGCUACUGAAAAAAAUAUUUCUUAUCUCCAAGAAAUUACUUUUUUAAAAUGAAAAAAUUACUUUCAUUGAAUGAAUACAUAAGCCGUAUUUGGAAUAACUUCUUAUUCUUAAUUUUAAUUAAAAGCAAAAAGUCACAAUUUUUUAAAAAUAAUAUUGAUAUUAUAAAAAAUGUAUUAAACAUAAAAAAACCUUUUUGAAUAAAUCAAAAUAAAGCUUUAAAAAAAACAUUUUCUUGAUUUUCAUAUUAAGUUAUUUUUUAAGUUAUAAAUUAUUUAAAUAAAAUGAGCAGCAUAAAAAAUCUUAUAGAGCUUUAAAAAUGGUUUUUGACUACUCAAAUCCACCCAAUCGGAACCAUCAUCCCGGUAACUUGGGGCCAGAAAAAUUGGCAAAAGGAAUGAGGUUAAAGUUCAGUACGUGUUGCAUGCAUCUUAUUAAAGACCAUAAAAGCAAUUCCAUAAUAUAUCACAUUUGGAGUUUUGGAUUUGGGUUUUUAAACUAAAAUGAGAGAAAUUUUGGGUUGUCGAAAGCGAAGAAAGAUGAGAGAAAACUUUCAAAUAAGUAAAUUGAAAACUUACAGAUUGUGUGUGUGUGUUUUUUUUUUUUUUUUUUAAAAAAAGUUAUAGAUUAAGAUUUUAAUAUUUUUUUUUUCUUAAUUUCAGUGGUUUGAUUGAUAUAGAGGUUGAAAUGAUGUUGAGGAUGCUAAGCUGGAGACAUGAAUGGGCAACUUGGGCAUGAAAGAUGGAGCCAGCUCAGAGGCAUAAAAACGAUAAUACUUUUUAUAUUAAAAAUUGAUUUUCAUAUUAAAUUUUAUACAUCUAUUUUAAAACAAUUAAAAUUUUAUUCAAUUUUCAAUUAUAAUAUAUGCACUGCCUCUCGCGGGUCGAUACUGCUGACGAGUGCAUGAAAUUAUUAUAAAUAUCUCAUGGAAUGAGGACAGAUUAAAGAAGAGGAGAGAGAGAGAGAGAGAGGGAGAAGAAGAAGACAACCAAAAAAGAAAAGGAAGACAGCAUUGUAAACAUAGAAAAUGGAAAGUAUUGGAAAUAUUUCAUGAAAUCGGAGUAAACAACAAAACAAAAUAAAAUACUUUUAAUCCCUGUUUCCUACUUCUGUCAUAAAGUAUGGAUAGAGAUGAGACGAAGGAGGAGAAGGAGGAGAAGGAGGAGCACUCAGCUUUCACCGAUACUGCAGUGUGUUGUGGUGGUGUAGCAUAUGGUAGGAUGUCAUUCUUGCUCCAAAAGUGUGGGCAGAUCCAUUUUUAUUUUCCUUUUUUCAUCUCUGUCCUCACUGAUUCGUUUUGGGUAUCCAUCAAUAUUUAUCAGUGGGCUUGGUGUUAGUCAAAAGCCACCAAUUUUUCUUUCCUUUUUUUUUUUCCCAUAUAUUAGAAUGAAAUGUUGUUGUCCAUUUUAGGGGAAGGCGUUAUGCUGAACUGAACUGUGCGAGGGGAAUGAAAAUUAAUUUAGGGGUUUUCUUCCUCCUCUAUUUUUGGCUCUCUUUCAUGAGGGUACAGAUUCUCUUUUUUUCUCUCGGAGUGUUUGGAUUGUUUCAUUCCAUUUAACUAUUUUUGCAGCAUAUUCCGAGUGUUAUAGGUAUUGGGUAAUCAGUAAUACAGAAAAUGUAAUAUAAUUUUGUACUAUGUAGUUUUGGACUUGGGGUAGGAUGAGUUUAAUUUAUGUAGAUUCAUGUCACUAUUCUCAGCCUUCAAUGCAUUGAUUUCUCCAGAUUUUGAUAUAUAUAUAUAUAUAUAUAUACAAACUGCAAUGGGAAUAAAAAGGAUGGUUGUUUCUUCAAGAAUUCUGAGAAAAAAAAAGGGGGUGGGGGGGCAAGAGAGGUUUGAGGAGGCCAUUGGGACUGUUAUCAGUUCUGUGUCUUUUGUUUUCAAGUUGUAAGAAGUCCCUGUUAUGCCAUUUGCUAUGUUGUUUCUGUCCAAUUUUCAGUUGAAAGAGUGGUAGAUUAGAGAAGGAGGAAUGGCUCAGACAUCUGGAUGCAGCUCUGGAGAUAGUAGAUGGUCUCUCAAGGGAAUGACUGCUCUCGUAACUGGUGGAACUAAAGGAAUUGGGUUUGUGAUGUUACCUGUAUUCUAUGUCUUUGGUUUGGACUACACCUUCCUUCCCAUAUAUAAAUGUAUGUAUCAAUUAUGCAGGCAUGCAAUUGUGGAAGAACUGGCUGGACUAGGAGCAACCAUACACACAUGUUCUAGAAAAGAAACCGAGCUCAAUGAAUGCUUGAAGGAUUGGAAAGCUAAAGGUUUUGGAGUGAGUGGUUCAGUGUGUGAUGUAUCCUCUCGGGCCCAAAGGGAGAAGCUAAUGCAGACUAUCUCUUCUGUGUUCAAUGGGAAGUUGAAUAUCCUUGUAAGUUCCUCUAGCCUGUAAAGUUCCAACCUGUGAUCUUAUACAUAAUUUGUUGAACUUAUUACAAUUGAGUUCCCCUGCUUGAAUUUUUGUUGGAUUCAGAUCAACAAUGCUGCUAUAAGUAUUCAGAAACCAACAAUAGAGGUCACAGCUGAAGAGUUCUCAACAAUCAUGGCCACAAAUUUUGAAUCUGUGUACCAUCUGUCCCAAAUCGCACACCCCCUUUUAAAGGCAUCAGGAGCCGGAAGCAUUGUAUUCAUCUCCUCUGUUUCCGGCAUAGUGGCACACAAGAAUAUCUCUGCUUAUUCAGUAACCAAAGGUAUUUCAUCACAUGAUCCAUGGUAUAUUCCAAGUGCUAGGAGUAAAUUCCUAUUUACCAGAGCAAUACUGAACAAGAGAAACAUAUAGAAUUUAUAGCGGUUCUCUUCUAAAGGGAGAGCUACAUCCAUUUUGCCAUUGUAGAUUUUCAUUAUGAAAAAAAAAAAAACCUACAGAACGAUCUCAGGUCUUACAAUAAUUAUCUCAUCUCUGAUUUUCCACAGAGAAAACAGUCACCAUGCAUGUACAAAAUAACUAUAAUAUCCCUUUGAUUGAUUCUCAGUCACCAGGAAAAGUGUAUAUUGUAAUUAGCAAGGCUCCACACAACUGAACAGCAAGUCCUUGGAUUGACCAUCUGUCAUUAUCAUUUUGUGAUUUUUCAGGAGCAAUGAAUCAACUUACAAAGAAUUUGGCAUGCGAGUGGGCGAAAGACAAUAUUAGAAGUAAUGCUGUAGCUCCUUGGUACAUCAAAACUCCAAUGGUGGAGCAGGUAAUUUCUAAUUUCCCUUCACAUCAUUUAGUUGCUCGAAUUCCCUUCUUUUUUUCUUGGUCUGGGAAAAUAGAAUAAUUGACUCGUCCUUCCUUCUCUGUCGUUUACAUUCUCUGGGUUCCAGAUGCUCACUAACCAAGCCUUUCUGGAAGAGGUGAUAAAUCGAGCUCCACUUCGUCGUGUGGGAGAUCCAAAGGAGGUGUCAUCUUUGGUAGCAUUCCUCUGCCUACCGGCAUCAUCUUACAUUACUGGACAGAUUAUUUGUGUUGAUGGUGGCAUGACUGUUAAUGGUUUUGAGUCAAACCUGCUCUAGGAACAUCAUAUGUGAUGGUAUUAUAGCCCUAAUUUGGCUGGCAUGUAUGGAGACUCUUUCAAACAUCUUAGCUUCCUCUACUGCUUCCAUGCCUGGAUCCUUUCUUUUUCCUGAAUAAUCUGCUUGUCAUGCCAAAGUCUUUAGUUUUUUUGGUGUGGGGUUCCCUUGAAAACCUUGCUGCAUGAUGCUUAUAAUAAUGUUUGGAAAGUUUGCUAAUUUUUAUUUGGGUUCAAAUUUUAAUUUUUCAAAAAGUUUCUUAUUAUUUGAUGAGAUUCUUGUGAAGGGUGUUUUUAUAAGGAUUUUAAUUCCAUACAUAAAUCAUACAUCUUUAAUCUCAAUACCAUUGAAAUAUAUAUCCAAUCCUUUGUUGUUCUUUCGUUUUUUUGUAACUUAAUUGUAGUAGGAUCGGAAAUAUGCGAACACUUUCUACUUUUGACCAUUUGCUUUGCUAAAUUAGACCAACUUUUCAUAAUACAAUUCUCAAGUAUUUCUUCAUUUUCAUUACAAUGAUCAUGCAUGGAUAUGGAAAAACUAAUCGGACUCUAAUGUCGUUCAAAUGCAUUUCAUAGAUCAAUCUUCAUCGUCGUAUCCUAAUUUUCAAAACUUGUUAGAACUUCUAAACUUAGUCAAUAUGUAUAGACAUGAUAUCCUCCAUGAUUUUUUUUUAUUGCAACGAAAAAAAGUUAUACAUUCUAUAUUUGAUCCCUAAAUAAAAAAGAAAAAAAGAAAAAAAAAAGAAUGUCUUGCAAAAAUAUUAGGGUUGCACAAAGUUUGGUUGUUAGAAUAAGUAAAAAUGAUGUGCAUCAAAAUAUGUCUUUGAGAAUGGCAAAUAUGUGAGUGCGCUUUAAAAACUCAAAUGGCUUCAAAUGAAUUUCAAGGAAAUGAUUCCAACAUAUAUUCAUCUUCUUAUACCUUUCUGUGCUUCUCCACCAUUUGUAACAAUUUCCUCACUCAUUUGUAAUCCUAAUAAACCUUCCGACCUAUUUUAAAAUUUGUCAAUAUAUUUUAAGCUAAGCUCACCAUCUAUAGUAUCAAAAAAAUUUCUCCUUAAUCCAUGUGGGAUAUGUAUAAUGAAUAAUAUUUGCUCAAAGGUUAAAUAUAUGAAAAUAAUUAAGAUUCAAUCACAUAAAAAUUACAUAUAGCAAGUAGGGAUAACAAUUUUGAUACUAAUAUAAUAAAACGACUAAAAAAUUACAUGGAUUUUAGUAGUUUUGGGUUAAGUAUAAUCAUAUUUAUGUUAUAAUUGUGUAAACACAUUUAUUAAACCAAUGAUAUUGGAAUGUGACUAUUCAACUCAUUUAACCCAUUUAUUUAUUCAUAUCAAAACACAUCUAUGAUAUGAUUAUGAGAACUAAUUUAUGAUUGACAUAACCAAUUUAUAACUUAUUAAUUAAUUCAUAUAAAUUUAUUAAUUUUAUAGAUAUUUAAAAAAUAUUAAAAAUUUAAAACACUUUUUCAAUUAUAAAGAUGUCCUAUAAAACACUAAGGAGGUCACCCUUAUUUAUAUAUGAAAUUAGGGAAUUAAAUUUGAAAUAUAUGAUAUUUGAUUACUUAAUUUAAAGAAUUUGAUUUCUUAAUUUCAAUAACUUUUCAGCCUCAUUUAAGAAAUUUGCCAACAAUCAAAUGUUUUUUCUAAGUCCCUUUUGACUUCAAUUUCCCAAUUUGUUUCUCCUAUUUGAGAAAUCUAUCAAUAAGAAAAUAUUUCUCUCUAAUUCCUUUUUAACUUUAAUUAUUUUAUUUUAUUUUAUAAGACUAGAUUUUGAAACCGUUCAAAUUUUACCGUGUGUUAUUUUUAAAAUCGUAUAUCGCAUGUUCAAUGUGUAGAAUUCAUGACUUAUGAAAUCCAAAUUUUAUUGAACUAUAGGGUUAUAACUUUAGUGACAAAUUUUAUAGUAAUUUAAUCCUUCUUUUAUUUUUAAGCCUACAUAGCUCAACAAGUUGAAUAUAUUUUUAUCGUGUUAAUGGGUUAUCAGUCUUGAUUUAAUUUAAUUUAUCAAAGAGGUUAAAUGAAUGAUUCCCAAUUUGCCACCACAAUAACAAGAGACAACAGACAGAAGGAAAGAGAAACUAAAAUACGUAAUGUGACUUUUCCUUUCAUGUUGCUUACUAUACUUGGUGUCUCUUAAUUUGUUUUUAUUAUAAGAUGUUAAUAAUAUGAUUUUAUUGAUUUAUACCCCAUAUAUAUCAUUUGAGGGAUUGAAAAUAUUGCAAAUUCAUAAUUAAAUUUAAAAGAUAAAUACAUAUACACACACACACAUAUAUAUAUAUAUAUAUAUAUAUAUAUAUAUAUAUAUGAAUAAAAAAAAUCAUCUAUGUAUAAAAUAAUAAUAAGUAGUCUAUUUUUAUCAUUUUUAUGUUAGAAGUUAAUCGAAAACAUAUUUUUUGUUUUUCCAUAAUUUAUACAAAAUUAUAAUAAAAUUUUUAUUCUAGAUAAAAUUAUAUUUUAUAAUUUGUAAUAAUUUAAUUAUAUCAAUUUAAUAUUUUGAUAUCCGUCGUAAAUUAUAUAGAAAUAUUGGAGUGCAAAUACUAAACUACAUAAUAACAACAAGACACCUUAUUCAUCCAAAUUUUCAAAUUUCAAAUAGAAAAUAUUAAAAACAUAAUUUUUAAAUUUAUUAAAAUAUUUAUAUUUGUAAAAAAGUAAUUAAUAAAGAUUUUAAAAUUUUAAAUAUGAUUAAUGAGAUUAUUAUGUGGGUAUUUAUUACUAAUAUUUAAUAUUAAAAAAAAUAAAAUAACAAUAUGAUAUUAAGAUUAUAUUUUUAUAAAUAUAGCAAAAUGAGAUUAUUCUAAAUUCAGUGAUGAUAACAUUAUAGUAAAAAUAAGGAGUGAUAUAAUUAUAAAUAUUUCACUAAGAGCAUAAAAAAUAAAAAAAUAUGGUAAAUUUAGCGAGUAAUAUUGUUACUAUAAAUAUCUGGUGACACGACGACAGAUAUAUGAGUAGAGAAAAACCUCGCUAUUCUACAUAUAGAGAUUCAGAUACCAUUGCCUAUGUCAUGAAAUCAGAGUCCACAAGAAGACAACAUAAAAUGCUAUCGAUCCAUCGCUGUUUCUUGCUCCUGUUAUAAAUUAUGGAUACUAGAUGAAGAUGAGAAGUAGAAGGAGAAGAAACACUUAGCUUUCAAGGAGUCGUAGAGCAGAGGAGGAGACAUGGCUCAGACAUGUGGGUGCAGCUCUGGAGAUAGUAGAUGGUUUCUCAAGGGAAUGACUGCUCUUGUAACCGGUGGAACUAAAGGAAUUGGGUUGGUGUUACCUGUUUUUACGUCUUUGGGUUUGGACUACACCUUCCUAUAUAUAAACGUAUGUAUCAAUUCUGCAGGCAUGCAAUUGUGGAGGAACUGGCUGGAUUAGGAGCAACCAUACACACGUGUUCUCGAAAAGAAAGCGAGCUCAAUGAAUGCUUAAAGGAUUGGAAAGCUAAAGGUUUGGAGUGAGUGGUUCAGUGUGUGAUGUAUCCUCUCGGGCCCAAAGGGAGAAGCUAAUGGAGACUGUCUCUUCUGUGUUCAAUGGGAAGCUGUAUAUCCUUGUAAGUUCCUCUAGUCUCUAAGGUUCCUAUCCAUGAUAUUCCACAUACUUUGUCGAACUUCCUACAAUUUGAGUUCCCCUACUUGAUAUAUAUAUAUAUAUAUAUAUUAUAUACUUUUUUUUAGAACCAGACAGCUUUGGUUUCAAAGACCCUACAUUUACCCAUCAUCCUUGUUAAAUAAUUAUGAGGAAGUCAUACUUACACGUGGAGAUUGAAAAAAAUAAUGAAUGAAUUCCACCAAAUGAAUUAAUUUUGUUUGGCAAUUUCAUUUGAAAAUCAACAAAGAAUGAUGUGAGGUGUGAAUCUUUUUCCAUAUAUCAGCGCACAUAUUCAAAUUCAGCCCUUUCCAUUAAUCUGAUAGCGAUUAUGAGGUUGCGUAGAUGCUACAACAACGACCAAAUGUGAUGAAGAUUUCAGGAAGUGUUGUGAAGAAUUUGAAGAAAAAUAUGAAGAAUUUGAAACAAAAUAUGGAGGAACACCUCAAUUCAUUCUGUGAUACCUUCCUUUACAAUGAAUGAAAGCAUAAAUAAAUAGCCUACGGAUAUGAGACAAUUCCGGAAUGGAAUUUCCCUUACAUGGAAAGUGAAUAAACUCUUACAUGGGAAGUGAAUAAACUACUCUUACAUGGAAAGUGAAUAAACUACCUUGCUAGAAUUACUCCUAAAUAUAUAAACUACUCUUACAUGGAAAGUGAAUAAACUACCUUGCUAGAAUUACUCCUAAAUCAAUUAUAAUAAAGGCUGUACAUUACACUAAUUAGGGAAGUAAACAGAGGAUGCUGGCUUGAUUUCCAACACUCCCCCUCAAGCCGCAUUGUAGAUGUUGAUCAUUCCAAGUUUUUCUGUCAGAUCUUCGAAGUUAACUCGAGCAAGAGCUUUUGUGAGAAUGUCAGCCGUUUGACAGUUUGUCGGAGUGUAGCUGACUUUGAAAACUCCUUCUUCAAUCUUUUCCUUGAUAAAGUGUCGAUCUAUCUCCACGUGCUUAGUUCGAUCAUGAUGAACCGGAUUCUUAGCGAUACUGAUGGCAGCUUGAUUGUCGCAGUAUAACACCAUGGGAUGCUUCAAUGGAACCCGUAAUUCUUCUAACAGCCUGUUCAACCAGAUUCCCUCGCAGAUACCUUGUGCCAUAGCACGAAAUUCUGCCUCAGCACUGCUACGGGCUACCACUGACUGUUUCUUGCUUCGCCAUGUAACCAAGUUCCCUCAGACAAAUGAACAAUAGCCUGAAGUUGAUCUCCGAUCAGUCACUAAACCUGCCCAAUCUGCAUCUGAAAAAAUCUCUAUCUCUUUAUUUGUUGUUCUUUGAAAGAAGAGACCCUUUCCCGGUGUCAUCUUGAGGUAUCUCAAUAUUCUGAUCACAGCAAUCAUGUGUUUUUCGGUUGGAUUAUUCAUGAAUUGACUUACCACACUAACGGAGAAGCCGAUGUCUGGCCUUGUAUGAGAAAGAUAGAUGAGUUUCCCCACAAGACGUUGAUAUCUUCCUUUAUCAACUGGCGCACUUCCAUCACAUUUCUUCCANNNNNNNNNNNNNNNNNNNNNNNNNNNNNNNNNNNNNNNNNNNNNNNNNNNNNNNNNNNNNNNNNNNNNNNNNNNNNNNNNNNNNNNNNNNNNNNNNNNNNNNNNNNNNNNNNNNNNNNNNNNNNNNNNNNNNNNNNNNNNNNNNNNNNNNNNNNNNNNNNNNNNNNNNNNNNNNNNNNNNNNNNNNNNNNNNNNNNNNNNNNNNNNNNNNNNNNNNNNNNNNNNNNNNNNNNNNNNNNNNNNNNNNNNNNNNNNNNNNNNNNNNNNNNNNNNNNNNNNNNNNNNNNNNNNNNNNNNNNNNNNNNNNNNNNNNNNNNNNNNNNNNNNNNNNNNNNNNNNNNNNNNNNNNNNNNNNNNNNNNNNNNNNNNNNNNNNNNNNNNNNNNNNNNNNNNNNNNNNNNNNNNNNNNNNNNNNNNNNNNNNNNNNNNNNNNNNNNNNNNNNNNNNNNNNNNNNNNNNNNNNNNNNNNNNNNNNNNNNNNNNNNNNNNNNNNNNNNNNNNNNNNNNNNNNNNNNNNNNNNNNNNNNNNNNNNNNNNNNNNNNNNNNNNNNNNNNNNNNNNNNNNNNNNNNNNNNNNNNNNNNNNNNNNNNNNNNNNNNNNNNNNNNNNNNNNNNNNNNNNNNNNNNNNNNNNNNNNNNNNNNNNNNNNNNNNNNNNNNNNNNNNNNNNNNNNNNNNNNNNNNNNNNNNNNNNNNNNNNNNNNNNNNNNNNNNNNNNNNNNNNNNNNNNNNNNNNNNNNNNNNNNNNNNNNNNNNNNNNNNNNNNNNNNNNNNNNNNNNNNNNNNNNNNNNNNNNNNNNNNNNNNNNNNNNNNNNNNNNNNNNNNNNNNNNNNNNNNNNNNNNNNNNNNNNNNNNNNNNNNNNNNNNNNNNNNNNNNNNNNNNNNNNNNNNNNNNNNNNNNNNNNNNNNNNNNNNNNNNNNNNNNNNNNNNNNNNNNNNNNNNNNNNNNNNNNNNNNNNNNNNNNNNNNNNNNNNNAUGCAUGAAACGUAGGUGAUAGCUUAUCAUAAGAAAAUAAAAUUUCCAAAUGGGAUGCUGAGUGCAUGAUCUAACUCCUUUCCUCCAAGCUAUGGGCAUAUUAAGAAUAUCAUUUUCUAACUCGGAAUCAACAGUACCAUCAGGAGCGUUGUUACCUGGAAGUUUGCUUGGAUUAGGACCCGGUUCUGCCUCAUGGGUUUGUUGAGAAAGUGAUCUUUCCUCCGUUUCCUCUUGGAUGUGCUCCUUAUCCCACAAGUCAACAAUGGACUCGGGUUGAUUAAAUGACUCUGGAGGAAUGUGAUUUUCAGUGGUGAUGGGUGACUCACUGAAUGACUCAAGAUCCCAAAAUUGAUAUUCCUGAGUUGAAUUCUCCCCCUGAAUAUCGUUUUUGGGAUAGUAAGGCUGGGUUUCAAAAAAGGUGACAUCCAUUGAAUUUUAGAAUUUUCUUGUGACCGGAGAGUAACACUUAUACCCUUUUUGAUUUGAAGAAUACCCAAGAAAGAUGCACUUGAGUGACCUAGGAUCAAGUUUACUUCUAUGUUGUUGAUUGAUAUGAACAAAGAUAGAGCACCCGAAAAUUUUAGGUGGGACGGUGGAGAUGAGACGAGUAGUCGGAAAGGAUUUUAGGAGUGUUUGACAAGGUGUUUGGAAUUUUAGUACCCUAGACGGCAUCCUAUUGAUGAGGUAGGCUGCCAUAAGGACAGCUUGCCCCCAGAAUAAUUUUGGAACAUUCAUGGAGAACAUUAGUGAUCUAGCCACCUCUAACAAAUGCCUAUUUUUCCUUUCAGCGAUUCCGUUUUGUUGUGGGGUAUCAACACAUGAAUUUAAGUGAACUAUCCCUUCUUGUGCUAGAAAUUCUCCUAGAAUGGAGUUGAAAUAAUCCCUAGCAUUAUCAGACUUUAGAAUUUGUAUUUUUGACUGGAAUUGAGUCUGAAUCAUAUUUUUAAAAUUUUUGAAAAUUUGACUCGUUUCAGAUUUUUCUUUCAUGAGGAAUACCCAAGUUAAUCUAGUGUGAUCAUCUAUGAAUGAGACAAACCACCUAGUACCAGUUACAUUUUUUAUUCUUGAUGGACCCCAGAUAUUGCUAUGAAUCAUUGAGAAUGGACUAGACUCUUUAUAGGGUUGAAUGGGAAAAUGAGACCGGACUUGCUUUGAUAAUUGACAGAUUUCACACUCAAAGGAUUUUGGAUUUUUAUUAAAUAAUGAAGGAAAUAAAUGCUUGAGAUACAUAACAUUUGGAUGACCUAAGCGAUAGUGCCACAACCUAAUUGCACUAUCGUUAUUUUGACAUGAAACCAAAAAAGAAUUACUACCAACUGUCAUUUGAGGUUGUUCUUGUGGAUCGUGGCGCUCCUUAAGGAUGUAGAGUCCAGAGCAUUCCUCAGCAUUGCCAAUCGUCUUCCCCGAAUCCAAAUCCUGAAAUUCACAGUGAGUGGAGGAAAAAUUAGUAGAUACACCUCUUUUCCUUAGUGAGUUUACUAANNNNNNNNNNNNNNNNNNNNNNNNNNNNNNNNNNNNNNNNNNNNNNNNNNNNNNNNNNNNNNNNNNNNNNNNNNNNNNNNNNNNNNNNNNNNNNNNNNNNCGUCAUAUGAUCAGAUGCUCCUGAGUCCACUAUCCAAGGUUUUUUACGUUUCUUACCAGCAGUGAAGGCACUCAAAAAAUUACCUUUGUGAGCCAAGGUUCCGGAACCAAUGACCUGGUUGGAAGAUGAGCCAGUUUGUGACUGUACUGACAAAAGAGGAGACAGUAGUUUCUGAAGCAUCUCCAUCUGAUGAGAGGAUGAAGACGAUGAGAUGAUGAUAUCAGAAGUAGAGGAUGAUGAGUUGGUAGCCAUUCCAAAGGCUGGACCGUAUUUAGGCAUAAAUUAGAAGAAUAGAAUUGAGUAAAAAAAAACUGACUAAAGAUGAAGACGAUGAGACAGGAUUAAACCUGCUCUGAUACCAUGAAGAAUUUGAAGAAAAAUAUGAAGAAUUUGAAAACAAAAUAUGGAGGAACACCUCAAUUCAUUCUGUGAUACCUUCCUUUACAAUGAAUGAAAGCAUAAAUAAAUAGCCUACGGAUAUGAGACAAUUCCGGAAGGGAAUUUCCCUUACAUGGAAAGUGAAUAAACUCUUACAUGGGAAGUGAAUAAACUACUCUUACAUGGAAAGUGAAUAAACUACCUUGCUAGAAUUACUCCUAAAUCAAUUAUAAUAAAGGCUGUACAUUACACUAAUUAGGGAAGUAAACAGAGGAUGCUGGCUUGAUUUCCAACAUGUUGGAGUGCGCAUGCUUGAGGAUGAAAACUGUGAACUUGAAAUGACUUAGAAGAUUAAUUUAAGUUUUCAAAUACAUAAAAUAUAAUUAAUAACAUAACUUAAUACAAUAAGUUAAGGCUUCCUAAAGUCUUAAAAUAAAUAACUUUUUCCCAACCUGAAAUAUCCUUUGCCUUGGUAAUAUUCAUGUUCUUCAAGAUCAAAAUUAGUUUGUUUGAUAUAUAAUUCAAAUUAAAAGAUGGAGGGUGUGCCGGGUCCUUUCUAAAUUCAAAAUGGCAUCAUGAAUCAGGUAAGGUUGUGCCCCACGGAUGAAAAUAUAGUAUUAGUUUGGACAAUGUGCCAUGGAAAGAAGAUAGAUUAAGUUCUACAUAUUCAUAUCAGUUGUCUCAGCUUUCACGGCAGACAUUUUCGACGCAAGAGACCGUCUCUUGCGGUGAGUAUUAACCACACUUCUAAAGUUGGAUGUUCGAGAAGACAACUGGGAUUGAUCAGUUUUGUCUCUUUUAUUUUCAGCUUCCUAGAAUCUCUCUCUCUAUCUCUCUUUUUUUUUUCUCAAGGUUAAUGUCAUUUUCUAUGUUGUGGUAGAGUAGAGAAGAACUCAGAAGGCAUGGCACAGACUGGCUGCAGCAAUGGAGAUAAUAGAUGGUCUCUCAAGGGAAUGACAGCCCUUGUAACGGGUGGAAUGAACUUUGAUCUGUCUCUGCCAAUUAUCACCUUGUUUUUAUAUCAAUUCUGCAGGCAUGCUGUUGUGGAAGAACUGACUGGAUUAGGUGCAAGAAUACAUACAUGUUCUCGAACAGAAACUGGGCUUAAUGAAUACUUAAGGGAUUGGGAGGGUAAAGGUUUUGAAGUCACUGGCUCAGUCUGUGAUGUAUCCUCUAGGGCCCAAAGAGAGAAGCUAAUGGAGACAGUAUCUUCUAAGUUUAAUGGGAAGCUGAAUAUCCUUGUUAGUUCCUCUAGUUUGUUAAAUGUGACCCAUCCAUUUUAGAAUCAUUUUCACUAAAUAUAAUUGAUGAGUUACCCUAACUGAAUCUUUGAAUUUAGAUCAACAACGCUGGAACUGGCAAACCGGGACGGACAGUGGAGUUCGCAGCUGAAGAGUUCUCAACGGUCAUGGCUGUAAAUUUUGAAUCUGUGUAUCAUCUAUGCCAACUUGCGCAUCCCCUUCUGAAGGCCUCAGGAGCGGGAAGUAUUGUGCUCAUGUCUUGUGUUUCAGGUGUAGUAUCACUCAAGUAUCUAUCUGCCUAUGGAGCAACCAAAGGUACUUCAUGCCACCAUCGGGUUUAUGUUGCAGGUCCUGUGUUGUUGGACAAGAUGAUAGAUAUUUACCUUUAAAAUUUUUCUUUCGGGGGCACUGAAUCAGCUUGCAAAGAACUUGGCAUGCGAGUGGGCGCAAGACAAUAUCAGGACAAACUCUGUUGCCCCUCGGUACAUCAAAACUUCUCUGGUAGAACCUGUGAGUUUAAUUCCCUUCACCUCAUUUAAAAGUUGCUGUUGUUUUCAUUGGGAAAACUGAUUAAUAAACCAAUCUUCUGUUUUGUUUUCUUUUAUUUUUUUGGUUGUAUCAUUUUGGUUUCAGUUUCUUAGUGAGAAAAGCUUUACGGAAGAGGUAAUAAGAAGAACUCCGCUUGGUCGAGUGGGGGAUCCAAAGGAGGUGUCAUCCUUGGUAGCAUUCCUCUGCCUACCAGUAUCAUCUUACAUUACUGGCCAGACCAUUUGUGCUGAUGGUGGGAUGAAUGUUAAUGGUUUCGAUCCGAGUCAAUGCUAGAAACAACUAGCAUUUAUAUAAUUGUUGUUUUCUCAUAUUUUUCAUACUCACUCUAAUAUUCUUCAUUAUCAUAUUUAUAUAUAUAUAUAUAUAUAGAUAUAUAUAUAUAUUUAUGUAGGUGUACGUGCACACGUGUGUUCAUGUGCGGAUCAUGGACAUUUUUUUUGUAUUCUGUCAUAUUCUUCUUACACUCUCAAAAUAUUCAUAUAUUUUUUACAAUCUUCAUGCAUUUUUUUUUUUUAAUUCUUGAUAUUCUCUCAUAUUCUUUGUAUAAUUUAUAUUGGAAAAAUGAAUAAAAAAAAUAUGGUUUAAAAUUGAUAAAAUAAGAAUAAAAGAUAUAAAAAUAAAAUAAAAUGAUAGAAAAAUAUCAAUAUUAGAGGAAGAUAUACUUGGAUAAUUAGACGCUAAAACCUUGAAGAUGCAAACAUAGUAUGUGGCUAUUUAAUGAGGAACUUAAGGAAUUUGUUCAAUAAUAGUAGCUACCAUGGGAUUAAAGGAUAGUGUAAACGAGUCCGAGGGAGAAACAAUUUUAAUAAAAAAUUAAUUAAAAAUUUAUAUAUUUGUAAUAAAAAUUUGAAAUAAGUUAAAUUAAUUUAAAAUGAUAUAUAAAAAUGAUUUACUGCUUUAAAUCUAUUUUUAUUUUUUAUUUUUUUUUCAUUUCUUUUUUACUUUUUCUUUAUAUAUAUAUAUAUAUAUAUAUAGAUAUAGAUAUAGAUAUAUAUAUUAUAUAUUUUUUUGAGAACCAGCCAGCUUUGGUUUCAAAGACCCUACAUUUACCCACCAUCCUUGUCAAAUAAUUAUGAGGAGCUCAUGCUUACAUGUGGAGAUUGAAAAAAAAUAAUGAUUGAAUUCCACCAAAUGAAUUAAUUUUGUUUGGCAAUUUCAUUUGAAAAUCAACAAAGAAUGAUGUGAUGUGUGAAUCUUUUUCCAUAUAUCAGCGCACAUAUUCAAAUUCAUCCCUUUCCAUUAAUCUGAUAGCGAUUAUGAGGUUGCGUAGAUGCUACGACGACGACCAAAUGUGAUGAAGAUUUCAGGAAGUGUUGGAGUGCGCAUGCUUGAGGACCAAAACUGUGAACUUGAAAUGACUAUUGAAUGCUACCAUAUGAAAUUCGGCCUGAAUCUUUUUCCAAUUCAAAUGCAGGCAGUUCCAUUAAUUUGAUAGAUAUUAUGAGGUUGCCUAUCAUGCUAAGAUAACCAAAUCCGAUGAGAAGUUCAAGAAGUGUUUUGAGUGUGUUUUAGUACUGACACCAUGAAUUCAAAAACAAAUAUAACAUAGAAACACAAAUCAAAACCCAUCACAUGAUGAUAUAGUCGAUAGGAAAUUUGCUUUCUUAAACCAUGCCACGUCCCAUGAAAAAGAAAAUUAAGAAAAUUACAAAUUUUACUUCGAUGGGCUCACAUGCUAUGUGAACCGUCCACUUAAUCGAGGUUAAGAUUAUCUUCAUUUACUUAGAAGAUAAUAAUGAAUUUUUCAAGUAAAAUUUUUUGAGAACCAGACAGCUUUGGUUUCAAAGACCCUACAUUUACCCAUCAUCCUUGUUAAAUAAUUAUGAGGAAGUCAUACUUACACGUGGAGAUUGAAAAAAAUAAUGAAUGAAUUCCACCAAACGAAUUAAUUUUGUUUGGCAAUUUCAUUUGAAAAUCAACAAAGAAUGAUGUGAGGUGUGAAUCUUUUUCCAUAUAUCAGCGCACAUAUUCAAAUUCAGCCCUUUCCAUUAAUUUGAUAGCGAUUAUGAGGUUGCGUAGAUGCUACGACGACGACCAAAUGUGAUGAAGAUUUCAGGAAGUGUUGGAGUGCGCAUGUUUGAGGACGAAAACUGUGAACUUGAAAUGACUUAGAAGAUUAAUUUAAGUUUUCAAAUACAUAAAAUAUAAUUAAUAACAUAACUUAAUACAAUAAGUUAAGGCUUCCUAAAGUCUUAAAAUAAAUAACUUUUUCCCAACCUGAAAUAUCCUUUGCCUUGGUAAUAUUCAUGUUCUUCAAGAUCAAAAUUAGUUUGUUUGAUAUAUAAUUCAAAUUAAAAGAUGGAGGGUGUGUCGGUCCUUUCUAAAUUCAAAAUUGCAUCAUCAAUCAAUCGGAUAAGGUUGUGUCCGACGGAUGAAAAUGUAAUAUUAGUUUGGACAAUGUGCCAUGGAAAGAAGAUAGAUAGAUUAAGUUCUACAUAUUCAUAUCAGUUGUCUCAGCUUUCACGGCAGACAUUUUCGACGCAAGAGACUGUCUCUUGCGGUGAGUAUUAACCACACUUCUAAACUUGGAUGUUCGAGAAGACAACUGGGAUUGAUCAGUUUUGUCUCUUUUAUUUUCAGCUUCCUAGAAUCUCUUUUUUUUUUUUUUCUCAAGGUUAAUGUCAUUUUCUAUGUUGUGGUAGAGUAGAGAAGAGCUCAGAAGGCAUGGCACAGACUGGCUGCAGCAAUGGAGAUAAUAGAUGGUCUCUCAAGGGAAUGACGGCCCUUGUAACGGGUGGAACUAGAGGAAUCGGGUCCGUGUUACCUGUUUUUCUGUUCUGGAAUGAACUUAAUUUGAUCUGUCUCUGCCAAUUAUCACCUUGUUUUUAUAUCAAUUCUGUAGGCAUGCUGUUGUGGAAGAACUGACUGGAUUAGGUGCAAGAAUACAUACAUGUUCUCGAACAGAAACUGAGCUUAAUGAAUAUUUAAGGGAUUGGGAGGGUAAAGGUUUUGAAGUCACUGGCUCAGUCUGUGAUGUAUCCUCUAGGGCCCAAAGAGAGAAGCUAAUGGAGACAGUAUCUUCUAAGUUUAAUGGGAAGCUGAAUAUCCUUGUUAGUUAACCUCUAGUUUGUUAAAUGUGGCCCAUCCAUUUUAGAAUCAUUUUCAUUAAAUAUAAUUGAUGAGUUACCCUAACCGAAUCUUUGAAUUUAGAUCAACAACGCUGGAACUGGCAAACCGGGACGGACGGUGGAGUUCACAGCUGAAGAGUUCUCAAGUAUCAUGGCUGUAAAUUUUGAAUUUGUCUACCAUCUAUGCCAACUUGCUCAUCCCCUUUUGAAGGCAUCAGGAGCGGGAAGUAUUGUGCUCAUGUCUUCUGUUGCAGGUGUAGUAUCACUCAAGUAUUUAUCUGCCUAUGGUGCAACCAAAGGUACUUCAUUCUACCAUAGGGUUUAUGUUGCAGGUCCUGAGUUGUUGGACAAGAUGAUAGAUAUUUACCUUGAUAAUUUUGCUUCAGGGGCACUGAAUCAGCUUGCGAAGAGCUUGGCAUGCGAGUGGGCGCAAGACAAUAUCAGGGCUAACUCUAUUGCUCCUUGGUUCAUCAAAACUUCUCUGGUAGAACCUGUGAGUACCCUUCACCUCAUUUGAAGUUGCUGUUGUUUUCAUUGGGAAAACUGAUUAAUAAACUAAUCUUCUGUUUUGUUUUCUUUUAUUUUUUUGGUUGUAUCAUUUUGGUUUCAGUUUCUUAGUAAGAAAAGCUUUACGGAAGAGGUAAUAAGAAGAACUCCGCUUGGUCGAGUGGGGGAUCCAAAGGAGGUGUCAUCCUUGGUAGCAUUCCUCUGCCUACCAGCAUCAUCUUACAUUACUGGCCAGACCAUUUGUGUUGAUGGUGGGAUGAGUAUUAAUUGUUUCGAUCCAAGUCAAUGCUAGAAACACCUAGCAUUUAUAUUAAUAUAUGUUGUUUUCUCAAAACCGCUUCUGUUUUUGGGAUUAUUUGCUCGUGAUAGUGACCUUGUGGUCCUAGGAUUAAUGCAUGGUUACCAAAUAUUAAGUCUAUGCUUCCAAUAAAUAUUAAAAAAUUUCUUAUUAUUCAAUCACGGAUUUCUACCUUCUUCUCCGGUCAUAGAUACUGUUUAGGUCUCCGGUGCAUUCCCCGCUCACCCACCUACAUCUGAUUGGUUGCAACGUUCAAUCACGGAUUUCUUAUUAUUCAUAUAUCUUUUAGUACAUUUUUUCAAAUUCUUGAUAUUUAUUCGUAUUAUUUGUAUAAUUUAUAUAAGAAAAAAUGAUUUAAAAUAAAAAUAUAUGGUUUAAAAUUGAUAAAAUAUCAUGAAUAACGUUUUACAAUCCAUAAGAUACAAAAAUAAAACAAACUGAUAGAAAAAUAUCGACAUUGGUUAAAAAUAAUUAAGUUAAUCGCGAGUAUAACUAAAUCAUCUCAACUUGAUGAAUGAUAAAUUCAUUUAUAAAAAAAUUUAAAAUAAAAAACCUAUUAAUUAUUGAAAAUUCAAAUAUGAUUUGAUAUAAAUGUUUUGUUAUGAAAUUUACAUUUGUAUGAAAAAAUAGUAAACUUUUCUUAAGGUUCGUAGUCCCCUGGAAACAUUUUUUAGUAUUUUUUUCGAGAGGUACAAAUUUCUUGCUUACUUUAAUAUAUUUAAGACACAAAAUUUGACAUAUAUAUUUGAUCCAUCAAUCAAAACUCCCAUCCCACACACAUUUUGUAAAGUUAGAGCCAUUAGUUUUUAUAUUCAAUUUUUACCUCUUUUUUUGCAUAUUUUAAUAAGAAUAAAUUAGAUGUUGUAAUUUCUUAUUUUAAAUAAGAGUAUGAUACCACAUUAAACGAUAAAAUAAAAAUUGUAUAUAUGUGAAAUAUAUGUCAUUAUUCAUCUUGAUAUGUAUUAUACUGUUUACCUCUUCAACAAGUUUUGUAAAAUUUUUUGUUUUGUAGUAAGUAAAGUGUGGAGAGUUACCCUCAAAGACAUGGGAUUUAAAAGAAAUAAGAAAAAGAGAAAAAUGUCAAAUAUUUCUUAUUAUAAUCACUUGAAAAAUAAGUCCAAUACACGUGGAGUUGAAAUAGGUUUACAAUCAAAGGAAGUAAAAGAAAAAAAGAUAAACUAAUCUUUCCUUGCUCCAAAAAAGAAAGAUAAUAAUGUUGAUGUGGUAAAUAAAUUAAUAAUUUUAACAUCUCCCCACAAACUCAUAAAACUCAUAAUGCGGUUGUAAGAAGUAGUGAGAGCUUAAAUAAAUUAACUUACAAUAAAAUGAAGUAAAAGAAAAAAAUUAAUUUACCCUUACUCGAUAAAUCUUUAGUAUAUUAUUAUUAUUAUUAUUAUUAUUAUUAUUAUUAUAUCUCAAAGUCAAGAUUAUGAACAUGAAAAUUAAACAUAUCGCGCUUCAAUCUUGACAAGACUAAUAUAAAGUGAGGUUUUCCCCUUCUUAUUAUUAAUAUUAUUAUUAUCACUACUACGAUAUCUUUGUUUACACUAAAAUCUUUUCUUUAAUGCCCUCAAAGUCAAGAUUACGAACAUAAAAAGCAUGUCACACUUCAAUGUUCACAAGACUAAUACAAAAUGAGGUUUCCUCCUAAAUUUAUUAUUACCAUUACAUAUCUUUGUUUACACUAAAAUCCUAUCUUUAAUACCCUAAAAGUCAACAUUAGGAACAUGAGAAACAUUUCACUAUUUAAUGUUGACAUGACUAAUACAAAGUGAGGUUUCCCUAAAUUUAUUAUUAUUAUUACAUAUCUUUGUUUUCACUAAAAUCUUAUCUUUAAUACCCUAAAAGUCAAUAUUAGGAACAUGAGAAACAUUUCACAAUUUAAUGUUGACAAGACUAAUACAAAGUGAGGUUUUCCCCUAAAUUUAUUAUUAUUAUUACAUAUCUUUGUUUCCAUUAAAAUCUUAUAUUUAAUACCCUAAAAGUCAAUAUUAGGAACAUGAAAAGUAUAUCACACUUCAAUGUUGACAAGACAUUAUACAAAGUGAAGUAUUAUUUCCAUAAUAUCUUUGCUUACACUAAAAUCUCAUCUUUAAUAUCCUUGAAGUUAAGAUUAUGAGCAUGAAAAAUAUGGCAUACUUCAAUGUUGACAAGAUUAAUACAAAGUGAGGUUUCUUCGUCAAUUUAUUAUUAUUACUACAAUAUCUUCCUACACUAAAAUCUCAUCUUUAAUAGCUCAAAGUUAAUAUUACAAGCAUGAAAGUUCAACAUGCCAUCCUCCAAUCUUAACAAGGCUAAUACAAAUUGUGAUUUCCCUAAUUUUUUUUCCAUUGUCUUUCUUUUUCUUGUACCUGUUGUGAUCGAUUUAGGUCACAAGCCAAAUAAUUGCAAGAAAAUGAACUCACACGUGAAAAUUGAGAAGGAUGAAAUAUUCUCUAACAUUGCACACUCUUAGAAGAAAAAUCAUUUGGUUGACAAUUUUAUUUGAGACUAACAAAUUGACGGAAGGACAUGAUGUGAGGCCAGCUUGUAUAUGCUUUUAUUCAAAUCUAGCCACAUGAUGAAUCCUACAAACUCCUUUCCCAUUUUUUUAUUGCAAUGUUUUAAAUGAUGCCACGUACCUAAAUUCUUGAAAUUUUGAGUCAGUUAAAGACAUGUCUGGAUGGCAUGGAGGAGAGUUAGGGGGCUAUUCGGCUUGUACCCCUUCAAAUUCAGCCUGCUCCAUUAAUUUGAUAGCUAUCGUGAGGUUGCCUAUGAUGCUAAGAUAACCAAAUGUGAUGAGGAUUUCAAAAAGUAUUCGAGUGUACUUCAGUACCAAAUCUGUGAAAUGAUUAUUGAAUGCUACCUAAUUUUGUUUGAAAUUUUCAUUUGAAAUUAAAUAAAUAAAUAUGUGAGGCCUAAAUCUUUUUCCAUCAUAUUGUACUCAUGUUCAAAGUCUGCCACUUCCAUUCAUUUGACAGCUAUAAUGAGGUUGUCUAUGAUGCUAAAAAUGACCAAACGUGAUGAUGAUUUCAAGAAGUAUUCCAGUAUAUUUUAAUUGGCAAUGUUUUAAAGAUAGGUAUCAUUCAUCCUAAAAAUUCAUCCAUUCAUGUUCAUUGCAUGGUCGAAAUGUUAUUAAACAACUAACAUUAUAAAUAUAUAAUUUAUAUUUUAUUAAAAUUAAAAAUAAUUUUUAAAAACUAAUAUGUAUAUAUAUAUAAUUAAAAACCAAUUAUAUUUAUUUUUUAAUCUUUUAUAUAAAUGUACUAAUAAUUAAAAUUUUAUUAAAUAAAAUAUGUAAAAUUUGAAAAUUGAAUAAAAUUUGCAUUAUAUAUAUAUAAAAGUUUAAAAGAUACUAGAUUAUUUUAUUCAUAUUGAAUUUCUGAAAUAAUAUACAUAUUUUUUUCUUUAGUUUCACAAACAUUAACAUUUGGAUAAGUAGCUGAGUAGUUGUUCCUGAAAAUGCUCAAGCACAUAUUAGCAAGAAUGAAGAAUUUGUUUCUAUUCUUUCAUAUUUUACAGUAGACCAAUGGCUAUAUAUAUAUAUUACAAUGUAACUAAUCUAACCAUCUAUUGAACUACCUAACCAUCUUCUAACUAAUCAUAACAACAUCUGUUAGAGAGGAGAAGAAUCAGCUGCUGGUGCGGGUGCUUGUCUAUCAUCCCCCCGCAAGCUGACAGGUCUUGGGACAAUAGAGAAAUGAGUACGAGCGGCUGAGAACUAACAGCUUGGAACAUAUUUAGUAAAGACAUCUGCCAACUGGUCGGUAGAAGGAACAUAUUGAAUUAAAAGCUCUUUGCGAAUGACCUUAUCACGGACAAAGUGAAGAUCAAUCUCUAUGUGCUUGGAACGGGCAUGGAAGACAGAGUUAGCUGCAAGAGGAGCAGCACUGAUAUUGUCACACCAGAUCAAAGGAGUGUUCGGUUGAGGAAUGCACAACUCUUUGAUCAGAAACUGAACCCAGGAGACCUCAACAGCGAGAAAAGCAAGUGCCCGGUACUCCGAUUUUGCACUACUACGAGAGACGACACGUUGCUUGGUAGAGGACCAUGAGAUGAGAUUGGUGCAAAAAAAAAAGACAAAAGCCACUAGUGCUUCUUCUAUCAUCGAGACAUGAAGCCCAAUCCGCAUCGGUAUAGCCUUGAAGAGACCAAGAUGGUGAGGCAUGGAUAGAAAGACCAUGAGUAGCAGUACCUUUGAGAUAGCGAAGUAUGUGUUUAGCAGCUUGCAGAUGAGAAGUGAUAGGAUGAGCCAUGUAUUUACAAGCUUGAUUUACUGCAAAUGAGAUUUUUGGUCUUGUGAGAGUGAUGUACUGAAGAGCACCCACAAGACUGUGAUAGUGAGUAGCAUCAAGAGCAGAUAAAGGUUCUCCAUCUGCUGCUGAUAACAAUUUUCCCAAAGCACCAAGUGUGCUAGCAGAUUUGGCCCCAAGAAGAUCAGCACGCUCAAGUAGCUGAUGUAUGUAGCGUUGUUGAUUGAGAUGAAGAACAUGAGGAAGCCGGGUGACUUCAAUGCCAAGGAAGUAGCUAAUAUCUCCAAGGUCUUGAAGAGCAAAAUGGGAGCUAAGCUGAGAAAUGAUAUGAUGGACCUGUGGUGGAUUGUUGCCAGUAAUGAGAAUAUCAUCCACAUAGAUUGAGAUGAUGAUAAUAUCAGAUGCAGAGUGGAAAUAAAAUAAAGAUGCAUCAGCCCUUGAGCAUUGGAAUCCCAAUUGUAAGAGAAAGGAGCUGAGCUUGUGGAACCAGGCUCGAGGCGCUUGUUUAAGGCCAUAGAGAGCCUUCUGUAGACGACAAACAUGAGUGGGGCAAGAGCUAUCUUCAAAGCCUAGAGGUUGCAUCAUGAACACCUGUUCUUAAAGAUCUCCAUUUAAAAAAGCAUUGUGGACAUCUAGUUGUUUAAUAGGCCAGUUGGAAGAGACAACAAUGGAGAGAACAAGCCUGAUAGUGCAAGGCUUCACAACUGGACUAAAUGUCUCAAAAAAAUCAAUGCCAUAGGUUUGAUGAAAACCUUGGGCAACCAGCUGAGCUUUGUACCUGUCAAUGCUGCCAUCAGGUUUAUGUUUGAGUUUGAAGACCCAUUUACACCCAAUAAUUUUGGCAUUAGAUGGAGGUGGCACCAAAGACCAAGUUUGAUUCUUCAAUAGAGCUUGAUAUUCUUGUUCCAUAGCAAGCUUCCAAUUAGGGUCUUGAAAAACCUGUUUGACAGUACGUGGCUCAGCUAUGAGUGAGGUAAGAUAGGUCUUCUUCUUAUAGAUACCAAAUUUGGAUCUGGUAAUCAUAGGAUGACUAGGAAUUGGAGCUAUGGAAUCCUGGAGGGAAGCAGUAGAAAUCUCAGCUGCUUCAUCCACAAAUGGCACCUGAAUGAGCGGGGGUAAAGACAAAAAGCUGGCUAGAGGUGAUGUGGGGGCAAGUUCGGAUGGGAUAGCCGGAGAAGAGCUGGUUGUGGAGGGGAAAAGAACAGAAGAUGGAGGAAAAAGAAAUGCUGGAGUGACAGGAAAAUGAGAUGAUUGGUGGGAAGGAGAAGUCAAUGCUUGAAAUGGAAAUGUAGUCUCUACAAAGACUACAUGCCUAGAGAUAUAUACUCUGCCAGUUGUAAGAUUAAGGCAAAAAUAACCCUUGUGAAAUGUUGCAUAACCAAGAAAGAUACAGGGUAUGGACUAUGGCUGAAAUUUGUUGGAGUUGAGAUGUCUGAGGUGUGGAUAACAAAGACAACCAAAGACUUUGAAAUGGAAAUAAUCAGGUGGGUGUUUGUAAAGAAGAGAAAAUGGGGAGCUGUAAUUGAGCAAAGGAGAAGGCAUGCAAUUGAUAAGGGUAAUUGUUGUAGUGAAAGCAUAGGACCAAAAUUUGGAUGGCAGGGCAGUUGUGUAAAGAAGAGUGAGCCCGAUUUCUACAACAUGGCGCAUUUUGCGUUCAACCCGACCAUUUUGUUCAGGUGUAUAAGGGCAAGAAAAUCUAUGGAGUAUACCAUGAAGAGAUAGAAACCGGAGGGUAGUGAACUUUCCACCAUGGUCUGUUUGAAGGCAUUUAAUGGUGGUCUGAAAUUGGUUUUCAACAAGAGUUUUAAAUUGAACAAAAGUGGAGUAAACCUGGUCCUUGGUGAGGAGUAAAUAUAUCCAUACAAACCUAGAGUAAUCAUCCAUGAGCAACAAAAAAUACCAGGCACCUGCGGAGGAAGGAACAGGUGUUGGUCCCCACAAGUUUGCAUGGAUGAGUUCAAGAGGAGAGGAGGCCCGGGAAGUGGACAAAGAAAAAGGAAUUUUGUGACUUUUGGCAUAACAACAAGCAUUGCAAACAUCAAUUGUUUUAUUUGAGUUAUAUGAAAUAUUACAUGUAUGAAAAAUUUUCUGAAGUAUUAUAGCAGAAGGGUGGCCAACUCGUUGAUGCCACAACAUAGUAGUGGGCUGAGUUUUUGUGAGAAACACUUGAUGUUUAGAAUUGGCAGUAGGUGAGUUGAUAGAUGAGGUAGGAAAUUUGUAGAGUCCACGUUCAAGUUGGCCUUGGAGAAGAGUCACUUUGGUAUCCUUGUCCUUGACAAAAAAUGAAAAAGGAUGAAAUUCAAGAAUGGUAUUAUUAUCAGUACAGAAUUUUGACACACUGAUGAGAUUUGAAGUGAGUUGUGGAACAUGAAGCACAUUGUGUAAAACAAAGGGUUUAGCAGAAAUGUGGAGAAAGGAAUGACCAACUUGGGUUAUGGGUAGGGACUUACCAUUGCCAACCAUCACAGAGUCAGUACCAUUGUAUGAAGUACCAUUGUGGAUAUUAGCAACUGUGUGGGAGAGAUGGUGGGUGGCGCUUGAAUCCAAAAACCAGGAGUCCGUUGAUGCUGGGGAAGGUGCUGCCAUCAUGGCUUGAGCAGGAGGAGUGGGACCAGUUUGAGAGGUUGAUGAGGCUGGUGCAUGUGGCCCUUGAUAAUUCACAUCAAAUCUGUGAUAACAAGAGAGGACCAUGUGCCCAAACUUGCCACAUAACUGACACUGUGGUUGGUUAUUUGUCCGGGAUCGAUUAUUGUUGAAUCGGUUAGGGCGAUAUCCUUGAGGAUGUUGCUGUCGUGAAUUUGGAAGAGUGUCAGGUCGUGGGGUUGGCAUGAAUGACUGAGGUGGUUUCCCUUGAGAGGGUUUGAUGGACUGUGACCUUCGUGGUCUGUUAUGAGUUGCAAUAUUGGCAAUGAGGAGGUCUUCUUCAGCAGUUGUGGUUUGAAGAUGCAGCCUCUAUUCAUGAGUCAGAAGGAUGCUAUGUACCGCAUGAAGUUGAAGGUCAUCAUCUCUAGCUGUGAGAGAAGCCAUGAUGGGGUUGUAUUCAACCCCUAGUCCACUUAGUAAUUGAAGAAUUUGAUCCUUUUCUGGCACUGGUUCUCCAAUAGCUGCUAGACUAUCAGAGAUGUGUUUGAGUUUUUGGAUGUAUUCCAUCAUGGUAAGAGGGCCUUUUUUGGUUGUUUGAAAAGCAAGUCUCAGCUGCAUUGUUCUUGCUUUGGUGGAAGCAGAGAAGCUUCAUUGGAGGGUUGUCCAUGCUUCAUGGGAUGUUCGUAGCCCAACAAUUUGGCCCAUAACAUCUGGAGUGAGAGAGGAGUAGAUCCAACUCAGGAUCAUACGAUCAUAUCUCCUCCAAACCAGAAAAUCUGGGUUCACUUCUCCGGUGGAUAUUAUUUUUGGAGGACAUGGUCUCAGACCUUCAAUAUAGUCCUCAAAUCCAUUGGCAUAUAUCACAUUUUCCAUUUGUGUAUGCCAAAGGAUAUAGUUAUCUCUAUCUAGUUUGAUAGGAAGAGGAUGGUUCAGCAUGCUCAUGUUCAGGGUAGAGGUUACCUGAGAAGAGACAAUCUCCGGCGUGGUUUGUGUUGAUGAAGCCAUCGGAAACUAGGUACAGUAUGUUCUUGAAGCUUUCUUGAGGUGAGUAAGAAAAGCAAAAGGUAAUCUGCAGAUGAUGUAUAUCAGAAGAAAGUUGCAGUAGAAAGAGUUGUUGGAGAUUUCUUUAUUGUCUUGCUGGGGAGAGAAAUCAAAAAACGAAAAUUCAUGAGCCUAUGGCUCUGAUACCAUGAAAAUGCUCAAGCACAGAUUAGCAAGAAUGAAGAAUCUGUUUCUAUUCUUUCUUAUUUUACAGUAGACCAAUGGCUAUAUAUAAAUAUUACAGUGUAACUAAUCUAACCAUCUAAUCAUCUAUUGAACCACCUAACCAUCUUCUAACUAAUCAUAACAGCAUCUGUUAGAGAGGAGAAGAAUCAGUUGCUGGUGCGGGUGCUUGUCUAUCAGUUCCAAGUUACCUUAAACCUUGAAAGGAUCAAGUCCUUUUGAUUUUGUUUAAAUAAGCUACUAAGCUACUGCUCACUCCACAUUGGAAAUUCAAGGGGAUGAAAAAAGGUUUAUAAAUCUCAUUCAUCUCCAACAGGUCACAUGGCCUUUAGGCCGUGGGAGGCAAUGCGGUGAGUGGGUCGUGUGCUCUAAAUGGAGGCCUAUUUUUGCAACAAAAGAAAGACCGAAACCAAACCAAGCAUGAACCAAAUCGGAUCAAGAUCCAGUCGACGGUCUGACUAGUUCAGUAGGAAUUUUUCAUAAUAUGGUUUAAUGGCAUGUAGAUAUUCUUUAGUCAAAGUUUUAAUAAGCCCAUCAAAAGUUGUAAUAUUUUAUGUUAUAAGUUAAUAGAGAAUAUUUUUUACUUUAAAUUUUUGUUGGUAUUUUCCCAUAAUCUAUAGUUAUUAAGGCAUUGAUAUUUUCUCAAAUUAUAGAAUUAAGUUCUAAAACAACAUUUAUUUUGACAUAGAUGAACAUUUGAAAGAUUAUAAUUUAUCUUUAACUUAUUUUUCUUUAUAACCAAAAUCUUUUCUCUCGAUUUUUCAUAAUAUUUGAUUAUGAUUAAUUAUUCAUGCAUACAAUCUAGGUCUGAAUCUAUUAUCUUCAACACUUAUUUUUAUUUUUUUAUGUCAUGUUUGAAAAUUUACUUUAGAUAGUAAGUCAAUAAAUGUUUCUAAAGGUAAAUGAGUGUUUGGUAUUAUGAUUCUUAGAUCUUGACUAGUAAGGGAUUCUUUAUAAUUUGUUCAUUUUAUUACUUGAGCUAAUUUAAUUCUCUAUUUAUUAAUUUCUUAUAUUUCAUCAUGUAAAUUUUGAAUAGUUAUAAGUUUGUGAAUAGUUUUGAAUCUAUUAAAUAUUUCAUCUAUAAUAUUGAUUAGAUUUGGGUUCUUGAAGUCUACUUAUCUCUUUAAUUUGUAAGAAUUAAAUCUUUUAAAUAUAACAAAUAUUGAAUUUUUAUGUUGAAUCCUCUAUUUUAUGACAUCAAAAAAUAUUUAUUUAUUUACUUUUGAAUAAAUCAUAUUUAUUAUUUUAUAUGAACAAACAUACUCACUUUCACAUUCAUUUUCAUCAUUAGAGUCUUCUAGACUAAUUAUAUUGGUUUAAUGUGUCUAGUAUUUGUGAUAAAUUUCAUAAAAAUAUUCAAGUGUAAAUAUUAAACUACAUAGUAUACUGUCACAUAUGACACAUUUCAAAUAGUAAAGACUAAAACCAUAAUUAAAGAUAACUUAGGUUUUAUUUUUUUUGUCAAAAAUAUUAUAAUUUUAAUUAAUUGAAUUAUUAAUUUUUCAAAAAUUUAGAAAAAAUAAAAAAUAGUAUUUUAAAAUUUGGCUCUCUUGAAAAUCAUGAGAGGAUAAAAAUUGGUAAAAAAAUAAAUAAAUUUAGAAAAGGUUAUUGAGAUUAAUUAAGUACAUCCUUGCCAUGAUAUUUAAUAUUUUUUUUAUGUUUUAUAAAUAGGGUAAAUGGACAUCGUUCUAAAUACAGGAAGAUGAUAUUAUUAUAUAUAAAAAAAAUGUAAAAAUAGUGAGUAAUAUUAUUAAAAAUAUCUCAUGGAAUGGGGCAAGAUAAAGGGCCAAAAAAAAAAAAAUUAGAGAAGAAAGAAGAAAAAGAAGAGUGUUGUAAGCACAGGAAGUCAAAAGUACUGUAUAAGCGUGAUUCAUCCCUGUUUCCUACUUCGAUUAUAAAGUAUGGACAGAGAUACAGAAAAAAAAAAAGAGAAGAAGCAGCAUUCAGCUUUCACCAGUGCAGAGUGGUAUGGUGGUGUAGCAUAUGUUUGGUUGUUAUUCUUGCUCCAAACAAGUGUGAGCUGAUCCAUUUCUAUACUCAUUUUUGUUAUCUCAGUCGACUGAUUCGUUUAGUGGGCCUGGUGUUAGCCAAAAGCUAGCCACCAAUUUUCUUUGCUUUAUCCCAUUACAUUAGAAUAAAAAGAAAAUGGAGGUUUGAGAGGGCCAUUGGGACCAUUGGGACCAUUAUCAGUUGUCUUUUGUUUUCAAGUUGUAAGAAGUCCUGUCAAGGUUUAUGUCAUUUGCUAUGUUGUUUCUGUUCCAUUUUCAGUUCAAAGAGUGGUAGAGUAGAGAAGGAGGCAUGGCUCAGACAUUUGGGUGCAGCUCUGGAGAUAGUAGAUGGUCUCUCAAGGGAAUGACUGCUCUUGUAACUGGUGGAACUAAAGGAAUUGGGUUGGUGUUACCUGUUUUUAUGUCUUUGGGUUUGGACUAUACCUUCCUAUAUAUAAACGUAUGUAUCAAUUCUGCAGGCAUGCAAUUGUGGAGGAACUGGCUGGAUUAGGAGCAACCAUACACACGUGUUCUCGAAAAGAAACUGAGCUCAAUGAAUGCUUGAAGGAUUGGAAAGCUAAAGGUUUUGGAGUGAGUGGUUCAGUGUGUGAUGUAUCCUCUCGGGCACAAAGGGAGAAGCUAAUGGAGACUGUCUCUUCUGUGUUCAAAGGGAAGCUGAAUAUCCUUGUAAGUUCCUCUAGUCUCUAAGGUUCCUAUCCAUGAUAUUCCACAUACUUUGUCGAACUUCCUACAAUUUGAGUUCCCCUACUUGAUAUAUAUAUUUUGGUUCCGGAUUCAGGUCAACAACGCUGCUAUUGUUAUUCAGAAACCAACAGUAGAGGUCACGGCAGAAGAGUUCUCAACAAUCAUGGCCAUAAAUUUUGAAUCUGUGUAUCAUCUGUCCCAACUCGCACACCCCCUUUUAAAGGCAUCAGGAGCGGGAAGCAUUGUAUUCAUCUCCUCUGUUGCCGGCGUAGUGUCAGUCAAGUAUCUGUCUGCUUAUGCAGUAACCAAAGGUAUUUCAUUACAUGAUCCACAGUAUAUAUAUAUAUCGCAAGUUCUUGGGUUGUGGCCCUUGUGGCCUUCUCGGCGUGUCAUUAUCAUUAUCAUUUUGUGAUUUUUCAGGAGCAAUGAAUCAACUUACAAAGAAUUUGGCAUGCGAGUGGGCGGAAGACAAUAUUAGAAGUAAUGCAGUUGCUCCUUGGUGCAUCAAAACUCCGAUGGUGGAUCAGGUAAUUCAGUUGCUCUUCUUUUUUGUCUGGGAAAAUUCAAUAAUCAAUUCCUCUCUCUUUUCUGUCUUUUGCAUAAUCUGGGUUGCAGAUGCUCAGUAACAAAACCUUUCUGGAAGGGGUGAUAAAUCGAGCUCCACUUCGCCGUGUGGGAGAUCCGAAGGAGGUGUCAUCUUUGGUGGCAUUCCUCUGUCUACCAGCAUCAUCUUACAUUACUGGACAGACUAUUUGUGUUGAUGGUGGCGUGACUGUUAAUGGUUUUGAGCCAAACCUGUUCUAGGAACAUCAUUAAGACUCUAAAAAAUCUUAGCUUCUUCUACCGCUUUCCUGUUUGGAUCCUGUCUUUUUCCUGAAUAAUAUGUUUGUGGUGGUAAGUACUCUUCUGUUUUUUCGGUGUGGGGUUCAUUUGAAAACAUUGUUGCAUGAUGCUUAUAAUAAUCGUUGGAAAGUUGGAAGAAGUUACUUAUCAUUGGAU
rnacentral:lncRNA from 1 species